AUCCGGGUUGCGGACAGUGUCUGGUGGGUAGUUUGACUGGGGCGGUCUCCUCCUAAAGAGUAACGGAGGAGCACGAAGGUUGGCUAAUCCUGGUCGGACAUCAGGAGGUUAGUGCAAUGGCAUAAGCCAGCUUGACUGCGAGCGUGACGGCGCGAGCAGGUGCGAAAGCAGGUCAUAGUGAUCCGGUGGUUCUGAAUGGAAGGGCCAUCGCUCAACGGAUAAAAGGUACUCCGGGGAUAACAGGCUGAUACCGCCCAAGAGUUCAUAUCGACGGCGGUGUUUGGCACCUCGAUGUCGGCUCAUCACAUCCUGGGGCUGAAGUAGGUCCCAAGGGUAUGGCUGUUCGCCAUUUAAAGUGGUACGCGAGCUGGGUUUAGAACGUCGUGAGACAGUUCGGUCCCUAUCUGCCGUGGGCGCUGGAGAACUGAGGGGGGCUGCUCCUAGUACGAGAGGACCGGAGUGGACGCAUCACUGGUGUUCGGGUUGUCAUGCCAAUGGCACUGCCCGGUAGCUAAAUGCGGAAGAGAUAAGUGCUGAAAGCAUCUAAGCACGAAACUUGCCCCGAGAUGAGUUCUCCCUGAGACUUAGAGUCUCCUGAAGGAACGUU
rnacentral:rRNA from 1 species